GGCGUCCACGUGGCCCCGGAGGCGGAGCUCUGGGCUCGCCGCCGGCAUCCUGAGUCCCCGUUGCUGUGCGGCGGCCAGGGGGGCGCUCCCUGGUGCCCCGUGCGAGUACCUGUUCAACAGCAAGCCCACAGGAUGCCUGAAGAUUUAACAUUUGGUUCUCGUGAGCCGGUUCCGGCUUGGCAAUGGUCUUACUCCUAAGUGGAGACGGGAGUAGGAUGACUGGAGACGAACUUUGUAGCUGGCCUUGCAGGAGCAAACAGCCAAGUGAACAGCCCCCAGAGAGGACCACAUGGCCGGGGACUGUGGGCAGCCUCCAGAACCUGAGGGUGGCCUCCCGCCGGCAACCAGGAAGAAGCUGGGGCCCUUGGUCAUGCAGUCACAAGGAUACGCAUCUCCCACUGACCUGAAUGAGCUUGAAAGAUUCGCAUCUCCAGACAAGAGCAAAGGUCAGCCUGUCCCUGGAUCAUAGACCCUGGAGACACUGAGCUGGACCCAGCUAUAGCCAAGCCCCAGCUCCUGCCCUACAGAAGUGGAGACACACCAAGGCCAAACAGCAAGCCGUCACUGACCGAGAUGAGUCUUCAUUUCCCAGGGAGCAGGCCUGGUAUCUGUGGGCCAGCGUUCGGAUUUUCCUGUCGCAGAGAGAAAUGGCUUUUUCCGUCCAGAUGCUGCGGCCCCUAUCAGGCAUGAGGACCAACAGUCCAAGAUUUUUACGCCUCUGAAUGGAAGCACGUUCUUUUUCAUAAACAUUUUUUUUUAAGAUUUUAUUUAUUUAUUCAACAGACAAAGAUCACAGGUGGGCAGAGAG